GCCAGAUGUGGCCCGGAUCAGCACUAUGACAGUCCAAAUGAUAGGUUACGCACUGUUCUGGGGCGGACAGUACACACCGGACGUGCUCAAACUCCCGCUUAACAUGGGUGAGCCUGGGACCAGGUGCUCGUGAUCAUCGUCAGCAGCUUACUUGAACAGGUCCUUGGCCUCAGAUCAUCGCUAGAUCAACAACUCACCUACAGAUCAUGUACUGCUCGUCUGGCAAAACGACUGCCUGCCCGUUCACCUGUUCUGUCACCAAACUGCCUACCGGAUUCUUUGGACACUAUCUUACACUCCCUGUCAUUUGCCACGUUUACAUGGAGCCAAAUAUUCCAAUUACAAUCGCAAUAUUUGUUCAAACCGAAUAAAUGUGUUCCAUAUAAACACCUCAUUCAGAAUGAACAGGCCCAAACCGAAUGGAAUUUCAUUCCGAUUCACAGGGGUGGAAUAUUCCUUUUCCCAAACCGAUUAGAAGUAAAAUUAUAUCAUAUAAACAGGGAAGCGGAAUGGUGUCUGGUUGCGUUCUUUCUGCGCAUGCUCCCUACUGACGUGGUGACGUCACUCGGUGACGUAAGUAACUUCACUUGCAACAUGGCUUCCAAGCACACGCACAGCGCACCCACACAACUUUUUAAAUGAACGGCGUAUCAUUCUGAAGUUUUGUUUCCACUCGAAAAGUUAAAACAGCAGCUGAUCUGACGAUCGAUCUCCAUGUUUUGCAACGUGACGCUUUGUUUUGAUUAAUCUGCGCAUGUCAGACGGCAGUUGUCAAACGUCCUUUCGGAAUAAAGGCAGUCACAUGUAAACGCGGGAUCGGAAUAGAUGAAGUGACAUGUAAACAGCUGAUGUGAAAUUUCCAUUCGGAAUGAUUUGAAUCGGUAUGAAUAAAAGUCAGCAUGUAAACGUGGCUAUUGUCAAUGAAUUAGGUCCCCUGUUACCCCAGCACCUUAACAAAUACAUUAUGUUGUUUACAGUCUAAAAAUGGUUCAUCUUUAAUGUUGAGUUGCUUGUUCCAAUGAAAAUAU